ACUCAACAUUUAUGCUUCAUUGGGGAGAACAACAAAAGGGGAAGAGCAAGGAGACACAUUUAUGGAAUCAACUUCUUUGUUGAUUUUAUGAACUAUGGACAAUAAUUUUUUUUGAGGUUUGUAGUUAUUUAUCUCAUUAAUUUCGUCUUUAAAAUUUAAACAUAAAUUCUAAUUUUAAGAAUGUAAUAUAUUUUAUUAUUGCACUCAAAAUUCUUUUUUUUUUUGUCAUUUUUAAGAGUGAGAAUCACUGCAACUUUUGGAAGUUUUCAUGGGAAUAUGGAAGAGAACGAGAUUUUAUUAGUUGAUUUGUUUAUUAGACGGUAGGGCUGGUUUUAAACAGUUAAUUUCAAUUUUAAAAUUUUUUAAUUUCAAUCUUUUGAGUAAGAUUUGGAUUUGAGUUGUUUGAAAUUUAAGUUAUUUUAGAUUUGGAUUAUUUGAGAUUAUUAGUGAAUUUUGUUGAGGAUGGUCAUUUCGAGUUUCGAUAAUUUCGACUAUCAUUCAUGGUUGACAUUAAUUUUUUUAUCGAACUAGUGUUAUUUAAAUGCUAGACGAGAGUUUUAACCAUAAUUUUCAAUAAGUCCUGACAUAAUUGACAAUUUUUUUUUAUGUAUGACACGAUUGGUACUUGAACUUAGGUUAUUUCAAGUUAUUUGUUUGAGUCACUUUGAGUUAAAAUCAUUUUUAAUUCAGAUAAUUUUCAGGAUAAGUUGAUUCGAG
rnacentral:lncRNA from 1 species